rnacentral:rRNA from 1 species
GAUGAACGCUGGCGGCGUGCCUAAUACACGCAAGUCGAGCGAACAGACGAGGAGCUUGCUCCUCUGACGUUAGCGGCGGACGGGUGAGUAACACGUGGAUAACCUACCUAUAAGACUGGGAUAACUUCGGGAAACCGGAGCUAAUACCGGAUAAUAUAUUGAACCGCAUGGUUCAAUAGUGAAAGACGGUUUUGCUGUCACUUAUAGAUGGAUCCGCGCCGCAUUAGCUAGUUGGUAAGGUAACGGCUUACCAAGGCGACGAUGCGUAGCCGACCUGAGAGGGUGAUCGGCCACACUGGAACUGAGACACGGUCCAGACUCCUACGGGAGGCAGCAGUAGGGAAUCUUCCGCAAUGGGCGAAAGCCUGACGGAGCAACGCCGCGUGAGUGAUGAAGGUCUUCGGAUCGUAAAACUCUGUUAUUAGGGAAGAACAAAUGUGUAAGUAACUAUGCACGUCUUGACGGUACCUAAUCAGAAGGCCACGGCUAACUACGUG